rnacentral:rRNA from 1 species
CUACGGGAGGCUGCAGUGGGGAAUUUUGCGCAAUGGGCGAAAGCCUGACGCAGCAAUACCGCGUGAGUGAAGAAGGCCUUUGGGUCGUAAAGCUCUUUUCUGGGGGAAGAUAGUGACGGUACCCCAGGAAUAAGCACCGGCUAACUCCGUGCCAGCAGCCGCGGUAAUACGGAGGGUGCAAGCGUUGUUCGGGUUUACUGGGCGUAAAGGGCACGUAGGCGGCACAGCAAGUUAAGGGUGAAAUCCCGGGGCUCAACUCCGGAACUGCUCUUAAAACUGCUGAGCUAGAGAUGGUCAGAGGCGGGUAGAAUUCCUGGUGUAGAGGUGAAAUUCGUAGAUAUCAGGAGGAAUACCGGUGGCGAAGGCGGCCCGCUGGGGCCAUUCUGACGCUAAGGUGCGAAAGCGUGGGGAGCGAACGGGAUUAGAUACCCCCGUAGUC